rnacentral:rRNA from 1 species
AUGAACGCUAGCGGCAGGCUUAACACAUGCAAGUCGAGGGGCAGCAUGAGACGGAGAUUCGUCGAAGUCUUGAUGGCGACCGGCGCAAGGGUGCGUAACGCGUGAGCAACUUGCCCGUUUCUGGGGAAUAACCGGUGGAAACGCCGACUAAUACCCCAUAGCAUAUUUAGGAGGCAUCUCUUGAAUAUUAAAGAAUUUCGGAAACGGAUAGGCUCGCGUGACAUUAGCUAGAUGGCGGGGUAACGGCCCACCAUGGCAACGAUGUCUAGGGGUUCUGAGAGGAAGGUCCCCCACACUGGAACUGAGACACGGUCCAGACUCCUACGGGAGGCAGCAGUGAGGAAUAUUGGUCAAUGGUCUGACGACUGAACCAGCCAUGCCGCGUGAAGGUCACGGCCCUAUGGGUCUUAAACUUCUUUUGUAAGGGAGCAAUAAGUCUCACGUGUGGGAUGAUGAGAGUACCUUACGAAUAAGCAUCGGCUAACUCCGUG